rnacentral:rRNA from 1 species
GAUGAACGCUGGCGGCGUGCCUAAUACAUGCAAGUCGAGCGAACAGACGAGGAGCUUGCUCCUCUGACGUUAGCGGCGGACGGGUGAGUAACACGUGGAUAACCUACCUAUAAGACUGGGAUAACUUCGGGAAACCGGAGCUAAUACCGGAUAAUAUAUUGAACCGCAUGGUUCAAUAGUGAAAGACGGUUUUGCUGUCACUUAUAGAUGGAUCCCCGCCGCAUUAGCUAGUUGGUACGGUAACGGCUUACCAAGGCGACGGUGCGUAGCUGACCUGUGAGGGUGAGCGGCCACAGUGGAACUGGGACACGGUCCAGACUCCUACGAGAGGACGCAGUAGGGAAUCUUCCGCAAUGGGCGAAAGCCUGACGGAGCAACGCCGCGUGAGAGAUGAAGGUCUUCGGAUCGUAAAACUCUGUUAUUAGGUAAGAACAAAUGUGUAAGUAAAUAUGCACGUCUUGACGGUAACUAAUCAGAAAGCCACGGCUAACUACGUG